rnacentral:ncRNA from 1 species
AUCAACACAAUGACGAGACGAGUACGAUAUGGAAUAAUGCAGAGAGAGAUAUGUAUGCUGCGAAUAUCUUAUUAUGAAAUAUCCGAAAACUAACUCUGAGUGACCCCAAUCCGGUCCGGUGAUUCCGUUAUAAUCGAUACCUAUAAUAAUGUUAAUAUUCCGUUGACAUAGAUCGUAGGUAGAAUGAAGUGGGUACAGUUUACUACUUGUACCAAUUAGGGUGGAACCGCGAGAAUGACUCGUCCCUUUC